rnacentral:tRNA from 1 species
ACUUAUAUAAUAUAAAAUAUUAUAAUUGAUUUCCAAUCAAAAAAUCUAUUAAUUUAGUAUAAGUA